rnacentral:lncRNA from 1 species
CCCCACAGGGGGCUUUCGUGAGCCAGGCAGCGAGGGCCGCCCCCGUGCUGCAGCCCAGCCGGGCCGCGCCGGCAGAGGGGAUCUCCCAACCUGCCCCGGCGCGCGGGGAUUUUGCCUACGCCGCCCCGGCUCCUCCGGAAGGGGCGCUCUCCCACCCUCAGGCUCCUCGGUGGCCUCCGCACCCGGGCAAAGCCGGGAGGACCGGGACCCGCAGCGCGACGGCCUGCCGGGCCCUUGCGCGGUGGGACAGCCUGGGCCCGCUCAAGCGGGGCCGCAGGGCCAAGGUGUGCUUGCGCCACCCACGUCCCAGGGGAGCCCGUGGUGGGGCUGGGGCCGGGGUCCCCAGGUCGCCGGGGCGGCGUGGGAACCCCAAGCCGGGGCAGCUCCACCUCCCCAGCCCGCGCCCCCGGAGGCCUCCGCGCGGCAGGGGCAGAUGCAAGGCAUCCCGGCGCCCUCCCAGGCGCUCCAGGAGCCGGGGCGCUCGUCUGCACUCCCCUGCGGCCUGCUGCUGGAUGAGCUCCUGGCGAGCCCGGAGUUUCUGCAGCAGGCGCAAGCUUUCCUAGAAACGGAGGCCCCGGGGGAGCUGGAGGCCUCGGAAGAGGCCGCCUCGCUGGAAGCACCCCUCAGCGAGGAAGAAUACCGGGCUCUGCUGGAGGAGCUUUAGGACGCGGGGUUGGGACGGGGUCGGGUGGUUCGGGGCAAGGGCGGUGGCCUCUCUUUCGCGGGGAACACCUGGCUGGCUACGGAGGGGCGUGUCUUCCCCGCCGGGCUGACCCGCCUGGGAUUCCUGCCUUCUAGGUCUAGGCCCGGUGAGAGACUCCACACAGCGGAGAACGGCCAUUCUUUCCUGGGCAUCCCGGGGAUCCCAGAGCCGGCCCAGGUACCAGCAGGUGGGCCGCCUACUGCGCACGCGCGGGUUUGCGGGUUUGCGGGCAGCCGCCUGGGCUGUGGGAGCAGCCCGGGCAGAGCUCUCACGCCUUCCCACCACCCCACCCCGCCGCCUGACCGCCCCUCCCCACCCCCACCCCCCACCCCGGAAAAUGCGUCGUCCUCCCCUGGGCUGGGUGGAGACCCCCGUCCCGCGAAACACCGGGCCCGCGCAGCGUCCAGGCCUGACGCCGCUCCGGCGGCUCUCGCCUCCUCUGCGCCUCCGCGCCACCGUCGCCCGCCCGCCCGGGCCCCUGCAGCCUCCCAGCUGCCAGCACGGAGCGCCUGGCGGCGGAACGCAGACCCCAGGCCCGGCGCACACCGGGGACGCUGAGCGUUCCAGGCGGGAGGGAAGGCGGGCAGAGAUGGAGAGAGGAACGGGAGACCUAGAGGGGCGGAAGGAUGGGCGGAGGGACGUUAGGAGGGAGGGAGGGAGGGAGGCAGGAGGGAGGCAGGGAGGAACGGAGGGAAAGACAGAGCGACGCAGGGACUGGGGGCGGGCGGGAGGGAGCCGGGGACAGAGGGAGGAAGGCAGGGAGGAAAAGCGGUCUUCGGCCUCCGGGAGUAGCGGGACCCCCGCCCUCCGGGAAAACGGUCAGCGUCCGGCGCGGGCUGAGGGCUGGGCCCACAGCCGCCGCCGCCGCGCGGCCGGCGGGGCACUCAUUCGCCCCGGUUCCGUGGCCCAGGGAGGGAGUGGGCGGUUUCCUCAGGGACAAAAGACCGGGACUCGGGUUGCCGUCGGGUUUUCACCCGCGCGGUUCACAGACCGCACAUCCCCAGGCUGAGCCCUGCAACGCAGCGCGAGGCCGACAGCCCCGACCACGGAGGAGCCACACGCAGGACGACGGAGGCGUGAUUUUGGUUUCCGCGUGGCUUUGCCCUCUGCAAGGCGGCCUGUUGCCCACGUCUCUCCGGCCCCCGAAAGGCUGGCCAUGCUGACUGUUUGCUCCCGGAGCUCUGCGGGCACCCGGAAACAUGCAGGGAAGGGUGGAAGCCCGGCAUGGUGCCUUCGCUCUCCUUGCCAGCUUCCAAACCGGCCACACUGCAGACUCCCCAUGUUGCCGCACACGGGAAUCCAUCGUCAGGCCAUCACGCCGGGGAGGCAUCUCCUCUCUGGGGUCUCGCUCUGCUCUUCUACGUGGAAAUGAACGACAGCCACACGCCUGCGUGUGUGAGACUGUCCCGGCAACGGCGACACCCACAGGCAUUGCCUCCUUCACGGAGAGAGGGCCUGGAACACUCAAGACUCCCACGGAGGUUCAGUUCCACACUCCCCUCCACCCUCCCAGGCUGGUUUCUCCCUGCUGCAGACGCGUGGGAGCCCAGAGAGCGGCUUCCCGUUCCCGCGGGAUGCCUGGAGAGGUCCGGAGAGCCAGCCCCCGAAACGCGCCCCCCUCACCCCUUCCCCCUCUCCCCCUUCCUCUUCGUCUCUCCGGCCCCACCACCACCACCACCACCACCACCACGCCCUCCCCCAUCCCCCCUCCCCACCACCACCACCAACACCCCGCCGGCCGCAGGCCUCGACUUGCCCUGGGUCCCUUCCGGGGUGGGGCGGGCUGUCCCAGGGGGGCUCACCGCCAUUCAUGAAGGGGUGGAGCCUGCCUGCCUGUGGGCCUUUAUAAGGGCCGCUGGCUGGCUGGCUGGCUGUCCGGGCAGGCCUCCUGGCUGCACCUGCCGCAGUGCACAGGCCGGCUGA